AAAAAUUUUUACGCAGUCAGCAGGAUUCGAACCUACGCGGGCAGAGCCCAAUUGAUUUCUAGUCAAUCUCCUUAACCACUCGGACAUGACUGCACGGG
rnacentral:tRNA from 1 species